UCCGGUUUGUCACCGGCAGUCUCCGAUGAGUCCCCAACUAAAUGAUGGCAACUAGGGACAAGGGUUGCGCUCGUUGCGGGACUUAACCCAACAUCUCACGACACGAGCUGACGACAGCCAUGCAGCACCUGUAUCCCGGUUCCCGAAGGCACCAAUCCAUCUCUGGAAAGUUCCGAGUAUGUCAAGGGCAGGUAAGGUUCUUCGCGUUGCGUCGAAUUAAGCCACAUGCUCCGCUGCUUGUGCGGGCCCCCGUCAAUUCUUUUGAGUUUCAGUCUUGCGACCGUACUCCCCAGGCGGCGAACUUAACGCGUUAGCUUCGAUACUGCGUGCCAAAUUGCACCCAACAUCCAGUUCGCAUCGUUUAGGGCGUGGACUAC
rnacentral:misc_RNA from 1 species